GACCUCGGUAGCUUAGUGGUUAAAAACAGUGGGGCGUAAACCUGAAGACCUGGGUUCGAAUCCCAGUCAAGUUCA